rnacentral:rRNA from 1 species
AGUGAACGCUGGCGGUAGGCCUAACACAUGCAAGUCGAACGGCAGCACAGUAAGAGCUUGCUCUUACGGGUGGCGAGUGGCGGACGGGUGAGGAAUGCAUCGGAAUCUACCUUUUCGUGGGGGAUAACGUAGGGAAACUUACGCUAAUACCGCAUACGACCUACGGGUGAAAGCAGGGGAUCUUCGGACCUUGCGCGAUUGAAUGAGCCGAUGUCGGAUUAGCUAGUUGGCGGGGUAAAGGCCCACCAAGGCGACGAUCCGUAGCUGGUCUGAGAGGAUGAUCAGCCACACUGGAACUGAGACACGGUCCAGACUCCUACGGGAGGCAGCAGUGGGGAAUAUUGGACAAUGGGCGCAAGCCUGAUCCAGCCAUACCGCGUGGGUGAAGAAGGCCUUCGGGUUGUAAAGCCCUUUUGUUGGGAAAGAAAAGCAGCAGGUUAAUACCCCGCUGUUCUGACGGUACCCAAAGAAUAAGCACCGGCUAACUUCGUG